UACGGGUGGUGCAAGUGUUACUCCUCUUGACUCGGUGUAAAGGGUGCGUAGAUUGAAAAGAUGGUUUUAACCUAACGUUAAAAUGGGUUUUUUACCUCUUUUUCUUGAGUUUGAUAGACAAUAAUGGAACUUCCUGCAUUAGAGUUAAAAUUCGUUUAAACUGGAAAGAACACCAAGGGCGAAAGCAAUUAUUGAUUACAAACUGACGUUGAGGCACGAAGGGAUGGGGAUCAAAUGG
rnacentral:rRNA from 1 species